rnacentral:lncRNA from 1 species
AAAUUGAUUUAUUAUGGGUGCUGUGUUGCUCGCAACUCUGGAGCAGUUCACCAGGAACUUGGGAAAGUUUAUGUUCCUGUGGGCGACUGUGGUUCUCCUGGGGGGAUUCGUGAACGAUCUGAGAAACUAUGACUUCUACUACGUCACUCUCCUGCUCGUUAGCUAUGGCAUCAGGAGCUUCCGGUUUCUCAACUUAGCCGAAGGCUUAAGGAAACCAAAGGUGAAUUCCCGCCUGAUCCUACUCGUCAUCGCCCUCCUUCGCCUCCUCGUCCUCUUUCCCUUCGGCGCCUAUAUAGAAACCUUGCUGCUGCCUCUCUGGCUGCUGCUUCUCUUGCUGCUGCUUCUCUGGCUGCUGUACAAUGCUCGCUCCGGGCGCUCAUUCGUCAUCGUCUACAACAUGGCCUACAAUACUGAGAUCCUUCUGGCUCUCGUCAGCCUCAGAGCCACCAUCCGCUGGCUACUACUACUGCACCCCAAGUAUCCAAAGUUCAACGAGUUCGUCGCAAUGAUCAGCUUCUUCUCGAUCGUCAUCGCCGAGUCGAGCUUGUUCCUGUGCAUCCGCGGCUGCUGGGAGAUCAUAUCAGUGAGGUACAAGAAGGCGAAGAAGAACAGGGGCCGACCGAGAUUUCUCCUGGAAACUAAGUCCAAGUUCUUCGUUGCCGUGUACGAGACGACGCUGAGAGAUGGAGCCAUCAAGGGGCUAAGGAUGAACUUGGUCGACUACGUCGCGAACGAGUUCUUGCAAUCGAGAGGCAACCGGGAGCUGAGGAAGAGCUUGCUGAUGCUGGAUGCGGUGUGCCACUGGGAAGAAGAAGAUCAGAGAAAGCAAAGUGGGAAGCUCCUCUUGGCAUCUAAGCGUCAAGUUGUGGAGCGGCUGUUCGAGUGCAUGGGCCACAAGUACUAUCUCAUCUACCGGCGAGCGGCGAUUUCUCUAGUGGCCGAGAUCUGCGAAGAUGAAAACGCCUUCUUAGCUGUGGCACACCUCGUCCAGGCCAGUGAUGAAGGCGUCUCGCUUCUGGUGAAAGCGCUGGAGCCGGAUACCAACAAGUCGGUGCUGGAGCUGCUAGGAAAGCUUGCGGCAUUUGGAGGGAUUGCCAAUGCCGAGCCGGGUGUGAUCGCGAAUUUUGAUUUUGCUAGAGGGGAUACGCACAAGGAGUGGAAGGAUUCCCUGCGCUAUACCUUCAAUGGCGAUGGAGAUGAUCCAGCCAGGGUCGAUGUAGAGCCAGAGACCCAGAGCUCCAGGCAGAAGAUCGCAGCGAAUUUGAGGACGCUACUCAGGAAGAAUCACGACUUGACAAGGUACCUCGCGAAUGCUCUCUUUUGUUCCUCCCAGGAGCUCCAGGAGCUAGCUCUAGACGCUCUCGCGGCAUUGCUAGCCUAUGAUCCCAGCCAUGGUGGUCUUCUCCCUGGUUACAAGAGCGUCAUCUAUGGAUUGUUCCAACUCCUCCGUACCUGCCAAGCUGAUCCACUAGGAAGCAAAGUGGCAGUAGUGCUGGAUCUUAUCUGCCGCAAGAAUCACCAGUACCUGGAAACGCUACUCGAUGGAAGCGGCAGUAGCAGUGACGACGUUAUAGCAGUUCUCAUGAGCGCGCUCUCCUUUGGUUUGGACCAUCACGAUGGCGAGAGGAGCAGGCAUGCAAUGUCGAUUCUGUGCAGCCUCCACGACCAGAAGCUGUUGAGCGAGGAGCAGGAGAAAGCGCUGGACAUCGCAAAGAUCGUGGACAUGGUGACCACUAUGACGAGCUCAAGACCAAGUGACCAUGGCUUGACUGGGGAGAGCUCGACCACCCAACCCAUGGAAGGGAUUGAUGUGGCAUUAGAAGUAGCCGAGCUUUGGGGUUUAGCUGCGCGGCCAUCACACUCCUCAUCAGCUGUUCCGACGGCAUCACGGAUUCACAAUCAACCAAGGUCGGAUUUGGCAGAUGAUCUCUUGGAGAAGAGCACGCUUCAUUGGCAAGACCCCCCAAAUUCCCCACAGAGGGAAACUAAACAGAUCAGGAUUCCAGAGAUGCCGCAGCACAGCAUUUCAUUCUAAAUCUUGCUAAAUCAAAA